UUGGUGGUUCAGUGGUAGAAUUCUUGCCUUCUGAGCCAGAGACCUGGGUUCAGUUCUUGGCCAA
rnacentral:tRNA from 1 species